GAAACUUCUCAUUCAAGUGGAUGGAACCCAGUGAGUGCAAGGCUGUAGUCAAGUCCAACUUUAUCCAAUCCAAGUCACAAAUUCGGGUUACAAAGAGUCCAAGUCAAGUUCGAGUUCACAAGGUCCGAGUCCGAGUCCAUAUGAGAUCAAGAGUUAACGUUAAGACAGAAAAAUAGAACUGCAAAAUUUGAGAAACUUCAUUAUGUUCAACAUUCUUGCCAAGGAGUCUGAGUCAAGUCCAAGACAACAAAAAACAUGUCGAAAAAAAUUGCCUCUCCCCUUUGAGCAGCUGACCCAUGUGUCCAGAUAUAUUAUUAGAGUACUCUCCUCUGUGAGCACUUACGAUAGUGAUUUCUGCUUGUGCAGUCAAUCAGUAAUUGACAAUCAUGUGAAUAUGAGAACAGCUCCCAUUACCGCUUAUUUCGACCCCUGAUAUCUCUCUCUCUCUCUGGAAAGGGGUGUGGGGGGUGCACACACAUAAAUUAUACACACAAUUUUCAGUGUUCUCAAUGUAUUUGUGUAGGAAUUAUGAUGGUUACUGUUAGGUUUAUUCACUUUUUUCAAACAGUGCUAUUUUUCUUUUCAGUAAAAUGAAUGACCACUACAAGCUGUACCCGCCUACUGCCUGAAGACAGCUGGGAUCGGCCCCCAGCAUGCCAACAACCCGAAGGAGGCAAAGCGGUUCGGAGAAUGGAUGGAAUGAACUUUUGUGUUAGUCUUUUGAGCUAACGCCAACGUCAGAAGCAUCAAAGAAAGAGAAACGACAAACCUGAUUGUUUUGGACACGUAGAGUCCCUGGGCUGAAGCCGGCACCACAAUUUGACCCUGAGGACUCCCUGAGAUGGAACAGGGGACCUGAUAACAAAAGGGCCUUGGA